UUAUGGCCAUAUCAUGUUAAAGCACCAGUUCCAGUACGAUCACUGAAGUUAAUGCAACACAGAGCCUGGUCAGUAGUUAGAUGGGUUACCACUUGAGAAUACCAAGUGUUGUAUG